rnacentral:miRNA from 1 species
GCAGCAAAGCGGCUGUGACUUAUG